rnacentral:misc_RNA from 1 species
CUCUGAUACUAUAUUGCUAAAACUGAAUUAACAUGAAAAUAUAAACUUAACAGUGAUGAAACUGAAACAAGACUUUUGUACAUACUUUUUAACCAAAAAAAAAAGACAUAAUAAAAGAAAAUAAAUUAACAGGUGCGAAGCAUAAACUAACACCGUAUAUUUAUAAGAAAAAUGAUUGAUAUUGAUAUAGAACCAACAUUGUCAUAUAUAAUUAAAGUUCUCCAGUCCACAACAGCUAGCAGAGCAGCAGUUCUGAUCAAUGAUUCAUUGUUUCUAUGACACGAAGAUGUCUCCGGCCGUUCUACUUCUGCCUUAUUAUUAUACUAUUUUUUUCUAUAGAAGGAAGCCGACUGAAAUAUUAUUUUCAUUUAGGAUUUUUUUUGAAGCAACAGUCCGGGGAAGCACAAAGUGCAACCAGUUCCACAUCCAUAACACCAUACACUUGGACCUCAUUACGCCCAGAAGUCCUCUGUACAACACAAGGCAGUCUCUUUAAAUUUUCAACAGUUAGAUCGACAUAAUAUAAAUUAAUAUGCAAUUCCUAAAAAAAUUCAAUAUUUUUUUUUGUAUUUUUCAAUUUUACUAUAUAUAUAUAUAUAUAGAGAUUCUAAAGAUUCUGACCGGUACACAGUUUCCGGGAAGAAUAAUUCUUCGUAUUCCUCCUAGUCGCAUGCCUUGGAUCGCUUUUUUUAAUCCUGUGACAAUUAGUUCUCCACUUGAGAGAGACAGAAAAAAGAUAGAUGUGUGUAGAAAUUCUUGCUUAUUAAGAUAUAAAUACGUGGUCUUUGUAUAUUCAACAGAUAAGUUAUAUAUCUUAAAUUUAUAAUAAAUCAGACUUAAAUAAAAAAAAAUCUAAAUAUAUAAUACCAUUUUCUCACCUGGAGCAAGUGGAUUGUCACACAAGUGGACAACCACCGGAGAACGAAUUUUCUUUGUACUGUUAUGAACAGUUUGUUCGAAAUCGUUAUAAAGAAUAAAGUGGAUUCUCAGCUGCCAAAAGAUGCAAUGCAAUUAAUAAGCUAAAAAAAGUUUCAUUAUUUUUGUAAAUAUAUGCAUAUAAAAUUAUGACAUUAGGGCAACGAUGAUUAUUAAUUACUUGUAGGAUAUGAUCAUUUGUUGCAGUAGCACCUUUGCCCACAGCAACAUCCCUGUACCAAACCUUUGAAUUACAUUUACUUUCAUCAAUCUCCUUGUAGUUCUCAUCCUUCAGUACAUUUUUUAGCACUUCCCCUUUAUCUAUUGGGAAGCGUCCACAAUUAGUUUUAUUCAAUUUUGACUUCAAAUCACCAGUAGGACAUUUGUACAAGGUAAUUGAAGAGGACCUUGAACAUUCGCGUGAUAAUGUUGUCACAUUCGAACCCAUGAUCCAUCUCAUUGCCCUUCUGUGCGCUGUUUUCUCCACUGGUAAAAUAGGAGUGGUAACCCAUUGUUUUCAUCUUCUCCUUAGCAUCAAAGCUAAAGGAAUCGGGGCAUGCCGGAUGAGUUAAGUUGGCAAACGCUGGCUUGGGUGUGAGAGAGAGCGUCGCAGAUGAAAUCAUCACUGUUGCUACUAUCCGAUUUAAGCCUCUGGUUGCCAUGGGCAUGAGAAAGCGUCUGCUGUGACUUCGUAUUACUUACAAAUCUGUAGAUGGCUGCAAUUCACAAGGUUUAGUAGGCUUCUA